ACUUGCAACUUUAUAAGCUUGGAGCCAUAAGCCUCUGGUUCUCAAGACUUGGAGCUGUAAGCCUCUGGAUUUGGGA
rnacentral:pre_miRNA from 1 species